rnacentral:rRNA from 1 species
CCUACGGGCGGCAGCAGUGGGGGAUAUUGGACAAUGGGGGGAACCCUGAUCCAGCGACGCCGCGUGAGUGAAGAAGUAUUUCGGUAUGUAAAGCUCUGUCAGCAGGGAAGAAAGCAAUGACGGUACCUGACCAAGAAGCCCCGGCUAACUACGUGCCAGCAGCCGCGGUAAUACGUAGGGGGCAAGCGUUAGCCGGAAUUAUUGGGUUUAAGGGGUGCGUAGGCGGAAGGUUAAGUCAGCGGUAAAAUGUCGGUGCUCAACACCGGCCUGCCGUUGAAACUGGUCUUCUUGAGUGAGCGAGAGGUAUGCGGAAUGCGUGGUGUAGCGGUGAAAUGCAUAGAUAUCACGCAGAACUCCGAUUGCGAAGGCAGCAUACCGGCGCUCAACUGACGCUGAGGCACGAAAGCGUGGGGAUCGAACAGGAUUAGAUACCCUUGUAGUC